CGGGGCGGGGGCACGGGGGGCCUACGGGAGGCAGCAGUGGGGAAUUUUGGACAAUGGGCGCAAGCCUGAUCCAGCCAUGCCGCGUGCAGGAUGAAGGCCUUCGGGUUGUAAACUGCUUUUGUACGGAACGAAACGGCUYUUUCUAAUAAAGAGGGCUAAUGACGUACCGUAAGAUAGACCCCGWYCCC
rnacentral:rRNA from 1 species